rnacentral:rRNA from 1 species
UACAGAGGGUGCGAGCGUUGUCCGGAAUCACUGGGCGUAAAGGGCGCGUAGGUGGCCCGACAAGUCACUGGUGAAAGCUCGACGCUCAACGUCGAGUCGGCCAGUGAUACUGUUGGGCUGGAGCACUGUAGAGGCUCAUGGAAUUCCGGGUGUAGCGGUGGAAUGCGUAGAGAUCCGGAAGAACACCGGUGGCGAAGGCGGUGAGCUGGGCAGUAGCUGACGCUGAGGAGCGAAAGCAUGGGGAGCGAACAGG